UCUCUACUAUCUUGACAGUUCUACAGUGCUGUGGCAUGAAAAUAAGAGCUGAUGAUCCCACUGCCAUGAAAAACUUCAUUCAGAGUGUUCAGAGUAGGGUGAAUGAGCUGAAGUCCUCUCCUGGAGAAGACCAGGCAAAAAUGAUUGGCAAAAGAAUGGAAUUCAUGCUUGAAACCAUAUGCGACAUCAAAAACAACAAGAAGAGGCCUAAGGAUGAUAGUGCACAACACACAAGAAUUAAAAAAUGGCUGCAAAAGCUAAGAGUUCAAGAAAUUCUUCUUAGAGGGCUCAAAUGGAGCAGGCUGCUUGAUCCUGAUAAGAAGGGCCAAUGGUGGCUGUCAGGUGAUACGGCUAUCACUGUAGAUGAUGUUGAAGAGGUUGCCAAUACAAUUGACAAAGAGGUUGUGGAAGCACAAAAGAUGCUGCAGCUUGCUGCUUUACAGAGGAUGAAUACAGAUGCUAGAAAGGCAAUCUUUUGUAUAUUAAUGAGCGGUGAGGACUAUAUUGAUGCAUUUGAGAAGCUUCUAAGACUGGAUUUGCCAGGAAAGCAGGACAGAGAGAUUAUCCGGGUUCUUGUAGAAUGCUGCUUGCAAGAGAAGGGGUUUAACAAGUAUUAUACUGUUCUGGCUUCCAAGUUGUGUGGGCAUGACAAAAAUCACAAGUAUACUUUACAGUAUUGCCUUUGGGACCACUUCAAAGAGCUCGAGUCCAUGCCACUUUUAAGAUCCAUGCACUUAG
rnacentral:misc_RNA from 1 species